AUUGAACGCUGGCGGCGUGCUUAACACAUGCAAGUCGAGCGGUAACAGGCGUAGCAAUACGUGCUGACGAGCGGCGAACGGGUGCGUAAUACAUCGGAAUCUGCCUAGUAGUGGGGAAUAACCCGGCGAAAGCCGGGCUAAUGCCGCAUACGAUCCACGGAUGAAAGCGGGGGACUUUCGGGCCUCGCGCUAUUAGAUGAGCCGAUGCCGGAUUAGCUAGUUGGGAGGUAACGGCUCACCAAGGCGACGAUCCGUAGCUGGUCUGAGAGGACGGCCAGCCACACUGGGACUGAGACACGGCCCAGACUCCUACGGGAGGCAGCGAGUGGGGAAUAUUGGACAAGUGGGGGAAACCCUGAUCCAGCGACGCCGCGUGUGUGAAGAAGGCCU
rnacentral:rRNA from 1 species